GCCGAUGUAGCUCAGAAGUAGAGCAAUGCUUUUGUAAAGCAUGGGUCGGGAUUGCGAUAUUCCCCAUCGGCU
rnacentral:tRNA from 1 species